UGCAAGUCGAACGCUGAAGCCCCAGCUUGCUGGGGUGGAUGAGUGGCGAACGGGUGAGUAACACGUGAGUAACCUGCCCAUCACUCUGGGAUAAGCGCUGGAAACGGCGUCUAAUACUGGAUACGAGCAGCGACCGCAUGGUCAGCUGCUGGAAAGACUGGUUCGGUGAUGGAUGGACUCGCGGCCUAUCAGCUUGUUGGUGAGGUAAUGGCUCACCAAGGCGACGACGGGUAGCCGGCCUGAGAGGGUGACCGGCCACACUGGGACUGAGACACGGCCCAGACUCCUACGGGAGGCAGCAGUGGGGAAUAUUGCACAAUGGGCGCAAGCCUGAUGCAGCAACGCCGCGUGAGGGAUGACGGCCUUCGGGUUGUAAACCUCUUUUAGUAGGGAAGAAGCCUUCGGGUGACGGUACCUGCAGAAAAAGCACCGGCUAACUACGUGCCAGCAGCCGCGGUAAUACGUAGGGUGCAAGCGUUGUCCGGAAUUAUUGGGCGUAAAGAGCUCGUAGGCGGCUUGUCGCGUCUGCUGUGAAAACCCGAGGCUCAACCUCGGGCCUGCAGUGGGUACGGGCAAGCUAGAGUGCGGUAGGGGAGAUUGGAAUUCCUGGUGUAGCGGUGGAAUGCGCAGAUAUCAGGAGGAACACCGAUGGCGAAGGCAGAUCUCUGGGCCGUAACUGACGCUGAGGAGCGAAAGCAUGGGGAGCGAACAGGAUUAGAUACCCUGGUAGUCCAUGCCGUAAACGUUGGGAACUAGAUGUAGGGCCUGUUCCACGGGUUCUGUGUCGUAGCUAACGCAUUAAGUUCCCCGCCUGGGGAGUACGGCCGCAAGGCUAAAACUCAAAGGAAUUGACGGG
rnacentral:rRNA from 1 species